rnacentral:rRNA from 1 species
GACGAACGCUGGCGGCGCGCCUAACACAUGCAAGUCGAACGGAGAUACUUAAAAGUUUACUUUUGAGUAUCUUAGUGGCGGACGGGUGAGUAACACGUGAGCAACCUACCCUUCAGUGUGGAAUAACGAUUGGAACGAUCGCUAAUACCGCAUAACAUCUUGGGACCGCAUGGUUCUGGGAUCAAAGAUUUAUCGCUGAGGGAUGGGCUCGCGGCCGAUUAGCUAGAUGGUGAGGUAACGGCCCACCAUGGCGACGAUCGGUAGCCGGCCUGAGAGGGUGAACGGCCACAUUGGGACUGAGACACGGCCCAAACUCCUACGGGAGGCAGCAGUGGGGAAUAUUGCACAAUGGGGGAAACCCUGAUGCAGCAACGCCGCGUGAAGGAAGACGGUUUUCGGAUUGUAAACUUCUAUCAAUAGGGACGAAAAAAUAGACGGUACCUAAAUAAGAAGCCCCGGCUAACUACGUGCCAGCCGCCGCCGUAAU